rnacentral:rRNA from 1 species
UACGAAGGGGGCUAGCGUUGCUCGGAAUUACUGGGCGUAAAGGGAGCGUAGGCGGACAGUUUAGUCAGAGGUGAAAGCCCAGGGCUCAACCUUGGAAUUGCCUUUGAUACUGGCUGUCUUGAGUUUGGGAGAGGUGUGUGGAACUCCGAGUGUAGAGGUGAAAUUCGUAGAUAUUCGGAAGAACACCAGUGGCGAAGGCGACACACUGGCCCAAUACUGACGCUGAGGCUCGACAGCGUGGGGAGCAACC